GAUGAACGCUGACAGAAUGCUUAACACAUGCGAGUCUUUGGCGAAGCUGUGCUUGCACAGCCUAGCCAAGGCGGACGGGUGAGUAACGCGUAAGGAACUUGCCCUGCAGUCAGGGAUAACAGACGGAAACGACUGAUAAGACCUGGUAAAGUCAGGCGGACUCAUGUCCAGCCUGAUGAAAAGAGAUGCUGCAGGAGAGCCUUGCGUCCUAUUAGCUUGUUGGUGGGGUAACGGCCCACCAAGGCGAUGAUAGGUAGCCGGCCUGAGAGGGUGGACGGCCACAAGGGGACUGAGAUACGGCCCUUACUCCUACGGGAGGCAGCAGUGGGGAAUAUUGGACAAUGGGGGCAACCCUGAUCCAGCAAUUCUGUGUGCACGAUGAAGGUUUUCGGAUUGUAAAGUGCUUUCAGCAGGGAAGAAAAAAUGACGGUACCUGCAGAAGAAGCGACGGCUAAAUACGUG
rnacentral:rRNA from 1 species